rnacentral:lncRNA from 1 species
CCUGGCUAAUUUUUGUAUUUUUAUAUAAGACAGGGUUUUGCCAUGUUGCCCAGGCUGGUCUCGAACUCCUGAUGUCAAGUGAUCCCCUGCCUUGGCCUCCCAAAGUGUUGGGAUUACAGGUGUGAGUCACCACACCUGGCCCAGACUUCAAACUAUGCUACAGGGCCCCAGUAACCAAAACAGCAUAGUACUGGAGCAGAAACAGACACAGACCAGUGGAACAGAGAAGAGAGUCCAGAAAUAAAGCCGCACACCUACAACCAUCUGAUCUUCAACAAAGCUGACAGAAACAAGUAAUGAGGGAAAGGACUUCCCUAUUCAGUAAAUGGUGCUGAGAUAACUGGCUAGCCGUGUGCAGAAGAUUGAAACUGGACCCCUUCCUUAUACUGUAUACAAAAAUCAACUCAAGAUGGAUUAAAGACUCGAGUGUAAAACC